GUGUUACUCUCACGGUGUAAAACAUUCGGAGACCACGAAUUAAAAUCAUGAUCAAGAGAUGUACGGUGUCUCCGCAUAUCAUACAGAAAAUACGUCAUAUUCUAAAUAUAUGCAUCUCUUUUGCUUUCAGGAAAGACUGUACUUGUUGCAAGCUCUAAAACAUGUGCCAAAAUGCUGGGCCGUCGUUCAACCAUUCUUAUGCUCAAUAUUCAUGCCGAAGUGCAUUAAUGACACAGUCGAAUUGCCGUCUCAUGAGAUGUGCAAGAUGAUGUCAGGCCCCUGCCGGAUGCUGAUGAACAGCACGAUAUGGCCGAGUUUCACAAAUUGCGAGAAUACCAAGUUGUUCCCGCGUCUGUGCCAGAACGACAUUAGGGAAUUGAAGUUUAAUACCUCGGGCAAAUGCUUGAAACCCCUUGUACCUACCGACAAUGUCCUUUCCAUUUUCGAUGGAGUUGAGGGCUGUGGGACGCAAUGUUAUGACCCGUUGUACACGCCUGACGAACACAACGAAAUUCACUCGUUUAUUGUAUGGGCCGCGAGCAUCUGCUGCAUUUUCAACUUAUUUACCAUUGUAACAUUUUUGAUAGAUUGGAAAAGCGCAAACAAAUAUCCAGCGAUAGUGAUAUUUUACAUAAAUUGUUGCUUUAUGAUGUCUUGCAUUGGCUGGCUGGUACAAUUCACUCCUGGCAGUAGAGACGUAAUUGUAUGUCGCAAAGAUGGAACAUUAAGAACAAGAGAACCGAGCGGAGAAAACCUAUCUUGCGUCGUUGUCUUCAUCCUGGUGUAUUAUUCUUUGAUGGCAGCCGUAGUAUGGUUCGUAAUAUUGACGUACGCCUGGCACAUGAGCUUCCGAGCACUCGGCACCAUACAAGACCGGAUAGACAAAAAGAGCGCUUACUUUCAUCUAAUCGCUUGGUGCGUACCACUCAUCCUGACGGUUACAAUCAUGGCUUUAGGCCAGAUUGACGGCAACAGCAUGACGGGAAUUUGCUUUGUGGGCUACGCCGAUCAUGCGUCCAAGAUUUUUGUGCUGGGUCCCGUGUUGCUUGCUGUGCUAGUUGGAGGAUAUUUUCUAUGCAGAGGGCUCUAUACGCUUAUUCGCUUGAAAAUAAGCAGUCAAGAGAUCAUAUCUGAAAGAGCAAGUUCAAAGAUAAAACAAACCAUUGUCCGAAUGGGGCUUUUUUCCAUAGCUAUUCUUGCAGCUGUGGUAGUGACAUUUUACUGUCACAUUUAUGAAAUUCAGAACUCGCAGCAGUGGAAACAGAGCUUCAGAAGUUACAUGAUAUGCACGAUUGUAACAAAGUAUGCGGAUAUAUCUGAAUGUAAAAUGGACGUGAGACCUAGCACGGGUAAACUGCAAUUGCAUUUGCUUGCAUUAUUUUCUACUGGAAUACUCAUGUCCUCGUGGAUUUGGACUAGCUCGACAGUCAACACGUGGCGCAGAUUUCUGAAAAGCAUGUGUUUUCUUCUCGUUUGCAGUCUCCUCAAACACGAGGCUGAAGAGCCUCCUGUAAGACUAAGCAAGCAUAAGCUCAUUGCGCAUGUAUUCGCAAAGCGGAAGACUCUUAAUAAGGCCGGUCGUUUAUCCAUAAGUUUUCACAACACCCACGCGGAUCCGGUUGGGCUGAACUUUGAUCUUAAUUCCGGGGUGUCGCAAGACUUCAGCACCACCUGGGCGGACGCUUUACCCAAAUUAGUAAUGCGAAGGGGUGCACUGGUCGAUGGUACCACAGGAUCUGUGUCUAGUAAUAGACGAAACUCGGUGGACUCUGAGAUUAGUUAUAGCUUUCGAUGCGUUUCCAUGGAAUCUAGACGAAACUCUCUGGACUCGCAGAUAUCCGUGCAGAUUGCACAGGUGAAGACGACACGAAAGGUCGCAAGCCGGUCGCGCGGUCGUCGUGGGAAGAACAGAAGGGACUUCGGGAAGUCUCGAUCAGCCAAAAUCAAUCCGCUCUCUAGGAGAGGUAGCACCACUUCUCAAGACAGUCAACUAAUGGCUCAAGUUCCAAUUCAGAUGCCCAAUAUGGGCAGAAGACUGGGGAACGCUGGAUUGGACGAACGAGCCUUAAAAAUUAUCGACACUAAACACACGGGCAUGCUGCUGCCAUUUUUAUUGGGAGGACAAAGCGGCAGCGACGAAAAUUUAAGUAGUGAGGAGAAGAAAAAUCAAGAUAUGGUUAAUAAGGACGUCGACCUGGAAGCAUGCAAUAUGGAAAAGGAAGAUGAACAGGAUAGUGAUAGUGAGAACAGUCGGUCAGAGGAUGAAGUGACAAUGUUAGAUCCUGAGAACGCGCACGAGCGUAAUAAAAAUAAAGAGCGUAGCAAUAAGAACUGUAAGACUUAUAAUCAUGAAAGUGGUAGAAGAAAUCGCGAGAGUGGUCAUAGGGGCAAGUACGUUUUGCAGGACGAAACUAUCUUCAAGCAUCUGCUUCAGGAGGCUAACGACAUUAAGGCGAAGAACGACAAUGAGAAGAAAGAGGCGUAUAGGAAAGCUGUGAUGAGCAAUUUGGAUUCUAGUCUCACCUCGUGUUAUCCAGAAUUAACAAGAUUGCUGCAAGGUGACGGACAAACUAACGCUAGAGAAAUGGCGACGCAAACCUCGCUGCCGCUGGAUAUACUGGAGAUGGAAGAGUUAAAGCAGAGUAUCGACGAGAUAAUUAAUAAUAGGCAUUGUAGCUCCAAGGGGACUCAAAUAUCGCCGCAAUUGAAAAAAAGUAACAAUAUCACGACAUAAGACUGAAAACUACACAGUGCAUUCAAAUAGUUCCAGCAACGGGAACCCCGAGACUCGCAUGGAGGUAAUCCUUCAACAUCCGCGUGAAUGGUACCUUUUUGGGAUUUAUGGCGUUCGUGCGAAAUACAUCGUUCAGAAGACAUAUCAAGAAGAAUAUUGUUUGCAGAAUCUAGAACAUAGUCUCCUCAAACACGAGGCUGAAGAGCCUCCUGUAAGACUGAGCAAGCAUAAGCUCAUUGCGC